rnacentral:lncRNA from 12 species
AGUGCCAUUAGAGAUCAACACCAACAUUUUCACCUCUCGAUAAAAAUAACAAGGUGUCUCAGUUUUGUCUAAAUCUUAUACCUCUACCCUUCCACAGCAUCCAUGGACAAUCUCAGGUAAUCCCAUCAAGGGCAACUCUCCCCACCCCUAAGGAAGGAAUGUUGGCUCCAAUUAGUCCAUGAACAGAAAAGACAAUUCUUGAACCUUCCGGGAAAUCAUGCAGGAUGGAUAGCCUGAAUAGCACUCAGGUAGGUGAAGUGCCAAAGAAGCACAUGAAUUCCUAACAAGAAUCCCCACUGUGUCACCUACCAAUCACUCCAAAAAACAACCCUGGUAGAUUUUGUACAAUCAGCCUUAUUUAACCAGCCAUCAUUUCCUCUUAAAAAAGAAAAAAAAGAAGAAGAAGAAGAAGAAGAAGAAGAAGAGUUAAGGUCA